rnacentral:rRNA from 1 species
AGGACGAACGCUGGCGGCGUGCUUAACACAUGCAAGUCGAGCGGAAAGGCCUUUCGGGGUACUCGAGCGGCGAACGGGUGAGUAACACGUGAGCAACCUGCCCUUAGCUCUGGGAUAGCUCCGGGAAACCGGAAUUAAUACCGGAUAUUACACCGGCUGGCAUCGGCUGGUGUGGAAAGAUUUAUCGGCUAAGGAUGGACUCGCGGCCUAUCAGCUUGUUGGUGGGGUAGAAGCCUACCAAGGCGACGACGGGUA